UACGAAGGGUGCUAGCGUUGUUCGGAAUUACUGGGCGUAAAAGCGCGCGUAGGCGGCUUGUCAAGUCAGGGGGUGAAAAUCCUGGGGGCUUAACCCCCAGAAUUGCCCUUUUGAAAACUGUCAGGCUGGAGUGUCGGAGGGGGAUAGCGGAAUUGCUAAUGUAGAGGUGAAAAUUCGUAGAUAUUAGCAGGAACACCGGUGGCGAAAGGCGGCUAUCUGGACGACAACUGACGCUGAGGCGCGAA
rnacentral:rRNA from 1 species